rnacentral:rRNA from 1 species
GACGAACCGAGCGAACGUUAUUCGGAAUCACUGGGCUUAAAGGGCGCGUAGGCGGGCCUGAAAGUCAGGGGUGAAAGCCCCCAGCUCAACUGGGGAAGUGCCUCUGAUACUGCGGGCCUCGAGGGAGGUAGGGGCGUGCGGAACUUCCGGUGGAGCGGUGAAAUGCGUAGAUAUCGGAAGGAACACCGGUGGCGAAAGCGGCGCGCUGGACCUCUUCUGACGCUGAGGCGCGAAAGCCAGGGGAGCGAACGGG